rnacentral:rRNA from 1 species
GGAUUAGGCAUGCAAGUCGCACGUGAUCCUUGCUUCGGUGAGGUGAAAGUGGCGAAAGGGUGAGUAAUGCAUAGCUAACCUACCCCCGGCGCUGGGAUAACCAGGAGAAAUCUUGGCUAAUACCGGAUAGGCUCGCGAGGCCGCAUGGUCAUGCGAGUAAAGGAGGCCUCUUAACAAUGCUUCCGGCUGGGGACGGGACUGUGUCCUAUCAGCUAGUUGGUAGGGUAAUGGCCUACCAAGGCAAUGACGGGUAGCCGACCUGAGAGGGUGACCGGCCACACUGGGACUGAGACACUGCCCAGACUCCUACGGGAGGCUGCAGUCGAGAAUCUUCCGCAAUGGGGGAAACCCUGACGGAGCGACGCCGCGUGCGGGAUGAAGGCCUUCGGGUUGUAAACCGCUGUCACAGGUUAUGAAAGGUCCGGCGUUAACAGCGCUGGGCCCUGACAAAGGCCUGAGAGGAAGCCACGGCUAACUUCGUGCCAGCAGCCGCGGUAAGACGAAGGUGGCGACCGUUGUUCGGAAUCACUGGGCAUAAAGCGCGCGUAGGCGGCAAGGUAAGUCGGGUGUGAAAUCCCUCGGCCCAACCGAGGAACUGCGCUCGAAACUACCAUGCUUGAGGACGGAAGGGGAGCGUGGAAUUCCUGGUGGAGCGGUGAAAUGCGUUGAUAUCAGGAGGAACACCGGCGGCGAAGGCGACGCUCUGGUCCGUUUCUGACGCUGAGGCGCGAAAGCUAGGGGAGCAAACGGGAUUAGAUACCCCGGUAGUCCUAGCCGUAAACGAUGGGCACUAAGUAGAGGGGUUUU